rnacentral:rRNA from 9 species
AGAGUUUGAUCAUGGCUCAGAUUGAACGCUGGCGGCAGGCCUAACACAUGCAAGUCGAGCGGUAGCACAGAGAGCUUGCUCUCGGGUGACGAGCGGCGGACGGGUGAGUAAUGUCUGGGAAACUGCCUGAUGGAGGGGGAUAACUACUGGAAACGGUAGCUAAUACCGCAUAACGUCGCAAGACCAAAGUGGGGGACCUUCGGGCCUCAUGCCAUCAGAUGUGCCCAGAUGGGAUUAGCUAGUAGGUGGGGUAACGGCUCACCUAGGCGACGAUCCCUAGCUGGUCUGAGAGGAUGACCAGCCACACUGGAACUGAGACACGGUCCAGACUCCUACGGGAGGCAGCAGUGGGGAAUAUUGCACAAUGGGCGCAAGCCUGAUGCAGCCAUGCCGCGUGUGUGAAGAAGGCCUUCGGGUUGUAAAGCACUUUCAGCGGGGAGGAAGGCGUUAAGGUUAAUAACCUUGGCGAUUGACGUUACCCGCAGAAGAAGCACCGGCUAACUCCGUGCCAGCAGCCGCGGUAAUACGGAGGGUGCAAGCGUUAAUCGGAAUUACUGGGCGUAAAGCGCACGCAGGCGGUCUGUCAAGUCGGAUGUGAAAUCCCCGGGCUCAACCUGGGAACUGCAUUCGAAACUGGCAGGCUAGAGUCUUGUAGAGGGGGGUAGAAUUCCAGGUGUAGCGGUGAAAUGCGUAGAGAUCUGGAGGAAUACCGGUGGCGAAGGCGGCCCCCUGGACAAAGACUGACGCUCAGGUGCGAAAGCGUGGGGAGCAAACAGGAUUAGAUACCCUGGUAGUCCACGCCGUAAACGAUGUCGAUUUGGAGGUUGUGCCCUUGAGGCGUGGCUUCCGGAGCUAACGCGUUAAAUCGACCGCCUGGGGAGUACGGCCGCAAGGUUAAAACUCAAAUGAAUUGACGGGGGCCCGCACAAGCGGUGGAGCAUGUGGUUUAAUUCGAUGCAACGCGAAGAACCUUACCUGGUCUUGACAUCCACAGAACUUUCCAGAGAUGGAUUGGUGCCUUCGGGAACUGUGAGACAGGUGCUGCAUGGCUGUCGUCAGCUCGUGUUGUGAAAUGUUGGGUUAAGUCCCGCAACGAGCGCAACCCUUAUCCUUUGUUGCCAGCGGUUAGGCCGGGAACUCAAAGGAGACUGCCAGUGAUAAACUGGAGGAAGGUGGGGAUGACGUCAAGUCAUCAUGGCCCUUACGACCAGGGCUACACACGUGCUACAAUGGCAUAUACAAAGAGAAGCGACCUCGCGAGAGCAAGCGGACCUCAUAAAGUAUGUCGUAGUCCGGAUUGGAGUCUGCAACUCGACUCCAUGAAGUCGGAAUCGCUAGUAAUCGUAGAUCAGAAUGCUACGGUGAAUACGUUCCCGGGCCUUGUACACACCGCCCGUCACACCAUGGGAGUGGGUUGCAAAAGAAGUAGGUAGCUUAACCUUCGGGAGGGCGCUUACCACUUUGUGAUUCAUGACUGGGGUGAAGUCGUAACAAGGUAACCGUAGGGGAACCUGCGGUUGGAUCACCU